rnacentral:misc_RNA from 1 species
UGAUUAUGGGAUGGAUUCGUGGAUA